CCCCCAACCCUAACCAGAAGAGGGGGCAGGGAUGUCACUCAAAAUGGAUUAACCUAUCAGAGCCAGAAGUUGCUCUCUCUGCCCGCCCAAGAAGGUCCCGCUUACUCUCCUGUCCCACCUUCUUUGUGACGUCAUCGAAUCCUCGCCUUGCUUAGCACGGCCCCGCCUCUUGUAUUUAAAUACGGCGCUCAACAUGGCGGUACCUAUUUGGUCCGUCGGUCGCUGUUUUCUAGCGCAGGCCCUGGAAAAGACUGUUUCUUCAAGAGCCACGCUGUUUGGCUAACCACAGCUGCGUUUUAAUCCCUGAAGCCCUUUCAUCGCGGAGUGCGUGUGGGCUAUCGCCUGAAAACCAGCUGACCUUUAACGACCCUCACCACCUCUGCUCCGGAAGUGCUUGCUGGUCCCAGGGGCAAGGCUGGAGGCUUGGCGACUAUCAUGCAGUCAGUAUUUGCUUUGGAUCUUGGAAGUUAAGUCAAUUACCAUUGUGGUCGGAGUAUAUGCGUGGAGGGAAAACUGUGUCCUGCUGCUGCUGAUAAGGAACUGGGGCUUGCAGAGCCUAUUUCCCUCCUAAAAAGGAGUUGAAUAUACCGUCUGACCUGAGCUUUCACAACACACUUUGGAUUCAUGUUGGACACCACGUGCGUAUGCUG
rnacentral:lncRNA from 1 species